UUAUUUUAAGUUAAUAGUGUACUGGUUAUAACUAAUAUCAAAUCUUUACUAAUACUUGAUUUCUUUUUAUGAUGGUUGACUUUGCGAGAACUAACGGAGCAUUAGUGUCAAGAAUGGGCUGAGAUUCGAAUUCAGUCGGUUUUUCGCUCUUUUUUGACAAAAAGGGAUCAAGAUCGGGACCGUCCAUUUGACUUCACACGGAUCACCAUCUGCUUUCUCUCUCAAUGCUCACACAUCUGACAAAAAGGGAUGCCAAAAGCAGGGAAGUACAAUCUACAGGAAAAAGCAACACUUUACUUUUGUGUGAAAGACAGCUUGCUUGCUGCAGUCUCUAUAAUAUAUCAACACUCUUCCAUACACUGUUUGAAAGACAGCACUGCUUCCUUCAGUCUCUAUAAAUAAUCCAGAGAUAUCUACACUCUACUCACACUUUACAAACUCUCAACUACACUCAACUGAAAUUAAUAUAUCAACUCUUUGCAUUCGGAUCUUGCGUUGUUUCUCGGCUCUCACAUCAAGGUUUUAAAAUUUUUGUCGGCUUUUCACAUCUCCCUCUUGCAUUGUUGUAAGUUCUUUCAAAUAUGACAUAGUGAACGGAUAAAUU